rnacentral:rRNA from 1 species
AUUGAACGCUGGCGGCAGGCUUAACACAUGCAAGUCGAGCGGGGUGAUGGUGCUUGCACUAUCACUUAGCGGCGGACGGGUGAGUAAUGCUUAGGAAUCUGCCUAUUAGUGGGGGACAACAUCUCGAAAGGGAUGCUAAUACCGCAUACGUCCUACGGGAGAAAGCAGGGGAUCACUAGUGACCUUGCGCUAAUAGAUGAGCCUAAGUCGGAUUAGCUAGUUGGUGGGGUAAAGGCCUACCAAGGCGACGAUCUGUAGCGGGUCUGAGAGGAUGAUCCGCCACACUGGGACUGAGACACGGCCCAGACUCCUACGGGAGGCAGCAGUGGGGAAUAUUGGACAAUGGGGGGAACCCUGAUCCAGCCAUGCCGCGUGUGUGAAGAAGGCCUUAUGGUUGUAAAGCACUUUAAGCGAGGAGGAGGCUCUUUUGGUUAAUACCCAGAAUGAGUGGACGUUACUCGCAGAAUAAGCACCGGCUAACUCUGUGCCAGCCGCCGCGGUAA